GGAAAAGUUGGUGUACGCUGCAAAAAAACUUUUACUAAGUAUUUGUGGUCUAGUUUCAAUGCAGAUGUCUUAGUACCAUUGAAAUAAGUCCAAACUAACUUACAAGUAACUUAUCAGCAAGAUACAGGAGCUUGUCUUAAGUAAAUAAUUCCUUAAUAUUG